CCGCGGUAAAACGCGUUACUCCUACGGGAGGCAGCAGUGGGGAAUCUUGCGCAAUGGGCGAAAGCCUGACGCAGCAACGCCGCGUGCGGGAAGAAGGUCUUAGGGUUGUAAACCGCUUUCAGCAGGGACGCGGUACCUGCAGAAGAAGGUCCGGCUAACUAC
rnacentral:rRNA from 1 species